rnacentral:lncRNA from 1 species
UUGAUGUUUCUGUUUAUUUUUGCAACAGAGUGCAGGUUUACUAAUUUGUGUUUACUUUUAAAAAUUAAUGAAGUGGGUCUCAGCAAUUACUAAAGUGUCCAGUUUACAGGGGAGAGUGAAGAUCAUACACUCCCAACCUCUCUCUCCAUUACAGCAGCGCUACGUUUCAAAAACUGAUGAAUGCCAGAAAACAUAUCUAUCUGAAUCACGGAGCAAAAUCAAUAACUUGUCUUGUCCCCAAAUGUGUCAAUGGUGAAGUUCCGUUAAGUGUUAGAUGUCAUCCGAGAUAUCUAAUAGGCAUGGGGAACAAGCUCUUGAAGUGGACGGA